UUCCCCAGCCAUGGGCAAUGACCUUCCUAGUUGGUGUUGUUCUUAUAUCAGUCAGUGGCAGAGCAGAAGUUCAUCCUUUGUUCACUCUAGCCUGGUUCCUGGCUUGAUGGCCAAAGCUGUUUAAUGCCUUGGAUGCAUAA